rnacentral:rRNA from 1 species
CCCUUAGAUGUUCUGGGCUGCACGCGUGCUACAAUGGCGCUUGCAACAAGUCUUGCCAACCCGAUAGGGUGAGCGGAUCUUUGAAGAGGCGUCGUGAUCGGGACAGUUGAUUGCAAUUAUUCGACUCGAACGAGGAAUUCCUUGUAAUCGCGAUUCAUCAUAUCGCGCUGAAUACGUCCCUGCCCUUUGUACACACCGCCCGUCGCUCCUACCGAUUGAGCGAUCCGGUGAAUGUUUUGGACCGGCGUCAGAAGCGGUUCGCUCCUGACACUACGAAAUUUUGUAAACCUUAUCGCUUAGAGGAAGGAAAAGUCGUAACA